rnacentral:rRNA from 1 species
UACGUAGGGAGCGAGCGUUGUCCGGAAUUACUGGGCGUAAAGGGUGCGUAGGCGGCAUGGCAAGUCAGAUGUGAAAUCCCCGGGCUUAACUCGGGAGUUGCAUUUGAAACUGCCGUGCUUGAGUGCAGGAGAGGAAAGCGGAAUUCCUAGUGUAGCGGUGAAAUGCGUAGAUAUUAGGAGGAACACCAGUGGCGAAGGCGGCUUUCUGGACUGUAACUGACGCUGAGGCACGAAAGCGUGGGGAGCAAACAGGAUUAGAUACCCU